CUUAGAUGUAGAGUGCUAUUUUUUAGAGAUAGAAAUUCCCUUCGGGGCUUUCUGCAAGGUGCUGCAUGGUUGUCGUCAGCUCGUGCCGUGAGGUGUCGGGUUAAGUCCCAUAACGAGCGCAACCCUUAUCGUUAGUUGCCAUCUGGUAAUGCAGGGGACUCUAGCGAAACUGCCACCGUAAGGUGAGAGGAAGGUGGGGAUGACGUCAAAUCAGCACGGCCCUUAUGUCCAGGGCUACACACGUGUUACAAUGGUCGGUACAGAGGGCAGCUACCUGGUGACAGGAUGCUAAUCUCGAAAACCGGUCUCAGUUCGGAUCGAAGUCUGCAACUCGACUUCGUGAAGCUGGAUUCGCUAGUAAUCGCGCAUCAGCUAUGGCGCGGUGAAUACGUUCCCGGGCCUU
rnacentral:rRNA from 1 species